AACAAUGUAAAAUAAAAACAUGAUUGUUCUUGAGAAAUGUAGUUCAAUUGUUUAAUUUAUUACACUUUUCUAAUUAAGUACUACUAUUACUCAGAAAGAACCCCAUGUUCUCCUGACUGUGUGUGUGUGAACUGUUACCAGUUCUGAUUAUGUUCGGUGUCCUUCCCAGGAAAACCCCAUGUUUCCCUGACUAUGUGUGUGUGUCUUUACUGGUUCUGGUUUUGUUCGGUAUUCUACCCAGGAAAACCCCAUGUUUUCCUGACUGUGUGUGUGUGUGUGUACCUUUACCGAUUCUGGUUAUGUUCAUUAUUAUCCAUAGGAAAACCCCAUGUUUUCCUG
rnacentral:lncRNA from 1 species